rnacentral:lncRNA from 1 species
GGGUUUUACAGUUUGGGAUCUUACAUUUAGGAUUUUGUCCAUUUUGAGGUAACUUUUGUAUAUGGUAUAAGGUCCCAGGAACCCAGGACCAAUCCCCCACAGAUACCAACCAGGAAAGGACGCAUCUAUGUUGUGAUCUGCUGAAGAAGCUGGGAAACCUCUAGGAGGAGACAGGGACUCCUGGCUGAUGGCCAAGAAGAAAUUGAAUGCUGCCAAAUACUGAAUGAGUUUGGAAGAGGAUUCCAAGCUGCAGAUGAGAAUGUAGCUGACUGACACCUCGAUUUCAGCCUCCUGAGACCAUGAGCAGAGAAUCCGCCAGGCAGUGCUGGCUUCUGACCUACAGAACUGUGAGAAAAAGGCAGGCAUUAUUUUCAGCCACUGAGUUUGUGGUAGUUUUGAAACCUGACCAAUUGUCCCAUAAAACUGAUGUUUAUCAUUUCUUUUGAAUAAACAUAGAAAUUG